UGCCAGCCGCCGCGGUAAGGCGUAGGGACCGAGCGUUGUCCGGAUUUAUUGGGCGUAAAGGGCUCGUAGGCGGUUCGAUCAGUCGGGUGUGAAAGCCCCGGGCUCAACCCGGGAACUGCAUUCGAUACUGUCGAGCUUGAGUGUGGUAGAGGGAAGCGGAAUUCCCGGUGUAGCGGUGAAAUGCGUAGAUAUCGGGAAGAACACCAGUGGCGAAGGCGGCCUCCUGGACCAACACUGACGCUGAGGCGCGAAAGCGUGGGGAGCAAACAGGAUUAGAUA
rnacentral:rRNA from 1 species